rnacentral:tRNA from 2 species
GGGCGGUUAGCUCAGGGGUAGAGCACGUCGUUCACACCGACGGGGUCGCAGGUUCGAAACCUGCACCGCCCACCA